UGCAAUUAAACUUUUGAGGAUGACUAAUUAAUGCUUUUGUGAGAUGAUUAAUUAGUUGUUAUGUGCUGUGAAUGAAGUGAGAGAACUAGAGAGAGACAAACAAUCACAAACACAAUGUUUUAUAGUGGUUCGGAGCUAACCCUUGCUCCUACGUCCACUCCCCAAGUCUCACUUGGGAAUUCACUAUAACCCCUUGGAUUACAGUCGGUUGUUUUACAAGCUCACAACCAAACUUGUUGUUUUACGAGCUCACAACGAACUCGGUCGGUUUUUCCUGGCUCACCGACUAGAACCACCCCGAUUGUUUUCCCGGGAUCACAAUCGAACCCUUACACGUUGGUUUUACACUCGGCUCACCAACCAACCUCUACACCCUUGAUUCAAUCCCCCGAUUGAACCAAGCAAAGACAAAAUGAAAAUAAUGACAACAAACAGAAAAACAGAGCUUCUCAAAAGCAGAUAAAUAACAAUAUAAACUAGAGAGAAGUUAAGAGCCCUCAAACACGUUUGAGUUGGAGUAGAGUAGGGCUUCUUGAACUUCGGGUCUCCUCUU
rnacentral:lncRNA from 1 species